rnacentral:rRNA from 1 species
CAGCCCUUGACAUGGCAGGACGGUUCCCGGAGACGGGUUCCUUCUCGCAAGAGACUUGCACACAGGUGCUGCAUGGCUGUCGUCAGCUCGUGUCGUGAGAUGUUGGGUUAAGUCCCGCAACGAGCGCAACCCUCGCCCUUAGUUGCCAUCAUUUAGUUGGGCACUCUAAGGGGACUGCCGGUGAUAAGCCGGAGGAAGGUGGGGAUGACGUCAAGUCCUCAUGGCCCUUACGGGCUGGGCUACACACGUGCUACAAUGGCGGUGACAGUGGGAUGCAAUGGAGUAAUCCUGCGCAAAUCUCAAAAAGCCGUCUCAGUUCGGAUUGUGCUCUGCAACUCGAGCACAUGAAGUUGGAAUCGCUAGUAAUCGCAGAUCAGCACGCUGCGGUGAAUACGUUCCC